rnacentral:lncRNA from 1 species
AAGACUUGUUUCUCCCCCAGGGUAGAGCUUUUGUGACAUCACACUAGAGCUGGAGGUAGAGAUAGUGACCUAGUUCUCAUGGAGUAGCACUGUUUGAGGAGGGCUCACUGGGAACAUGAUACGGUGGUCCCUAGUUUUCCUGGUUUGCCUUCCUCAAAGUAAAAUCUCUGCCUUAUGAAUGAGCUGAACAGGAUCAACUGGGACCCUGCUUUGGAUCAGCAUGACAUGCCUGGGGGGAGUUUCUAAUUUAUGAAUGAGGCUCCUUGGGGAAGAGAGACCUGAUCUCUCUGCUGCUCUUGCCUGGAAUAAAGCUCCUACAACAAGGGACUGAGAGAUGAGAAAAACCUGACAGCAUGCUCUUCACAAGUUGGAAAUGUAGUCCUACACUGAUGCUAUGAGGAAAGGGAGCCUCCAUCUUCAUCACUGUACUUACCAGAAUGAGAGCUCCUGGAACAUUUUCAUAAGAAGUGAUGUGGGGGAAGAAAAAGGACAGGAGUUCUAGUUUUGAAUGGUCACACACCAACUCUGAUCUGCUCAUCUAGAUUAAGAAUGAUCAAAUAGAUCUAUCUAUCAGAAAUUUUAUAAAUUUCUGACAUGAAGAAACAACUGGAAGGGAGUGCAGGAUGCCAAGAAGUAUGGAAAUAAUUUUCUCUUGCACUUUCUUUGUAUCAAGGACUGUCCCAGUUAUAUGACCCCUAUAAUAAAGGUGAAAAUAAAUGUUUCCAGAAGAAAAAUGAGUCCAGUGGGAAUGUGUCAAACGUUUUAAUCAACAGCCUAAAUCUUUGGAGGAGAAAUGAUAAGUUCUUCUCAGAGUGGAUACAGAAGAGAUAUAGAAGAUGUGAGGAGGAAGAAGGAAAGAAAGAAUUUCCCCAGCAGCAUAUGUAUUUACUGAUGUCCAUGUUGUGGGUGAUUGGAGUUUGAACCACAGUGGUGACUAUAAGCAUCAGCAUAGAAAGACAUGAAUUUUGGAGACAUUUGGGAAGUCGGAGGCUGCAGUUCUUAGGCUUUUAUUAUUCCUUCCCUAAAGAGCUUUCUCUGACUAUACCCAUCUAUAGGAAUGCUUCUUAAGGGGCAAGGACUAGAUUUAUGUUUUUUCCUAGUCCACCUUGUACUAAUACUUUUGUAAAAAGCAAUAAAAAUAAAUUAGUAGAAAAAUGAAAUAGAAAA